GGCCUAACACAUGCAAGUCGAACGGUAACAGGAAACAGCUUGCUGUUUCGCUGACGAGUGGCGGACGGGUGAGUAAUGUCUGGGAAACUGCCUGAUGGAGGGGGAUAACUACUGGAAACGGUAGCUAAUACCGCAUAACGUCGCAAGACCAAAGAGGGGGACCCUCGGGCCUCUUGCCAUCGGAUGUGCCCAGAUGGGAUUAGCUUGUUGGUGGGGUAACGGCUCACCAAGGCGACGAUCCCUAGCUGGUCUGAGAGGAUGACCAGCCACACUGGAACUGAGACACGGUCCAGACUCCUACGGGAGGCAGCAGUGGGGAAUAUUGCACAAUGGGCGCAAGCCUGAUGCAGCCAUGCCGCGUGUAUGAAGAAGGCCUUCGGGUUGUAAAGUACUUUCAGCGGGGAGGAAGGGAGUAAAGUUAAUACCUUUGCUCAUUGACGUUACCCGCAGAAGAAGCACCGGCUAACUCCGUGCCAGCAGCCGCGGUAAUACGGAGGGUGCAAGCGUUAAUCGGAAUUACUGGGCGUAAAGCGCACGCAGGCGGUUUGUUAAGUCAGAUGUGAAAUCCCCGGGCUCAACCUGGGAACUGCAUCUGAUACUG
rnacentral:rRNA from 1 species